rnacentral:rRNA from 1 species
UACGUAGGGUGCAAGCGUUGUCCGGAAUUAUUGGGCGUAAAGGGCUCGUAGGCGGUCCAUCGCGUCGGGAGUGAAAAGCUGGGGCUCAACCCCAGUCCUGCUUUCGAUACGGGUGGACUAGAGGUAGGCAGGGGAGAACGGAAUUCCCGGUGUGAGCGGUGAAAUGCGCAGAUAUCGGGAGGAACACCAAUGGCGAAGGCAGCUCGCUGGGACGGUACUGACGCUGAGGCGCGAAAGCGUGGGGAGCAAACAGG